UCCAGACUCCUACGGGAGGCAGCAGUGAGGAAUAUUGGUCAAUGGUCGGGAGACUGAACCAGCCAAGUCGCGUGAGGGAAUAAGGCCCUACGGGUCGUAAACCUCUUUUGCCGGGGAGCAAGGGCGGGGACGUGUCCCGGCCCGGAGAGUACCCGGAGAAAAAGCAUCGGCUAACUCCGUGCCAGCAGCCGCGGUAAUACGGAGGAUGCGAGCGUUAUCCGGAUUUAUUGGGUUUAAAGGGUGCGUAGGCGGGCUUUUAAGUCAGCGGUAAAAAUUCGGGGCUCAACCCCGUCCGGCCGUUGAAACUGGCGUUCUUGAGUGGGCGAGAAGUACGCGGAAUGCGUGAUGUAGCGGUGAAAUGCAUAGAUAUCACGCGGAACCCCGAUUGCGAAGGCAGCGUACCGGCGCCCGACUGACGCUGAAGCACGAAAGCGUGGGUAUCGACCAGGAUUAGAUACCCGGGUAUA
rnacentral:rRNA from 1 species